rnacentral:rRNA from 1 species
UACGGGGGGGGCAAGCGUUGUUCGGAAUUACUGGGCGUAAAGGGCUCGUAGGUGGCCAACUAAGUCAGACGUGAAAUCCCCAGGCUCAACUUGGGAACUGCGUCUGAUACUGGAUGGCUUGAAUUCGAGAGAGGGAUGCAGAAUUCCAGGUGUAGCGGUGAAAUGCGUAGAUAUCUGGAGGAAUACCGGUGGCGAAGGCGGCAUCCUGGACCGAGAUUGACACUGAUGAGCGAAAGCUAGGGGAGCAAACGGG